CCUACGGGUGGCUGCAGUGAGGAAUAUUUGUCAAUGGUCGGGAGACUGAACCAGCCAAGCCGCGUGAGGGAUGAAGGUACAGAGUAUCGUAAACCUCUUUUGUCAGGGAACAAAGGCGGGGACGUGUCCCCGGAUGAGUGUACCUGAAGAAAACGUAUCGGCUAACUCCGUGCCAGCAGCCGCGGUAAUACGGAGGAGGCGAGCGUUGUCCGGAUUUAUGGGGGUAAAGGGGUGGUCGGGCGGUCUGUUAAGUCAGCGGUCAAAGCCCGGGGCUCAACCCCGGCCCGCCGUUGAUACUGGGAGUCUCGAGUUGGAGAGAAGUAUGCGGAAUGCGCGGUGUAGCAGUGAAAUGCGUAGAUAUCGCGCAGAAC
rnacentral:rRNA from 1 species